UACGGAGGGAGCUAGCGUUGUUCGGAGUUACUGGGCGUAAAGCGCACGUAGGCGGCUUUGUAAGUUAGAGGUGAAAGCCCGGGGCUCAACCCCGGAAUUGCCUUUAAGACUGCAUCGCUUGAAUCCGGGAGAGGUGAGUGGAAUUCCGAGUGUAGAGGUGAAAUUCGUAGAUAUUCGGAAGAACACCAGUGGCGAAGGCGGCUCACUGGACCGGUAUUGACGCUGAGGUGCGAAAGCGUGGGGAGCAAACAGG
rnacentral:rRNA from 1 species